rnacentral:rRNA from 1 species
GUAGGUGGCAAGCGUUGUCCGGAAUUAUUGGGCGUAAAGCGCGCGCAGGCGGUUCGUUUAAGUCUGAUGUGAAAGCCCACGGGCUCAACCGUGGAGGGUCAUUGGAAACUGGAGAACUUGAGUACAGAAGAGGAAAGCGGAAUUCCACGUGUAGCGGUGAAAUGCGUAGAGAUGUGGAGGAACACCAGUGGCGAAGGCGGCUUUCUGGUCUGUAACUGACGCUGAGGCGCGAAAGCGUGGGGAGCAAACAGGAUUAGAUACCCUGGUAGUCCGCGCCGUAAACGAUGAGUGCUAAGUGUUAGGGGGUUUCCGCCCCUUAGUGCUGCAGCUAACGCAUUAAGCACUCCGCCUGGGGAGUACGGCCGCAAAGGCUG